rnacentral:rRNA from 1 species
UACGUAGGGUCCGAGCGUUGUCCGGAAUUAUUGGGCGUAAAGAGCUCGUAGGCGGUUUGUCGCGUCUGCUGUGAAAUCCCGAGGCUCAACCUCGGGCCUGCAGUGGGUACGGGCAGACUGGAGUGCGGUAGGGGAGAAUGGAAUUCCUGGUGUAGCGGUGGAAUGCGCAGAUAUCAGGAGGAACACCGAUGGCGAAGGCAGGUCUCUGGGCCAUUACUGACACUGAGAAGCGAAAGCAUGGGGAGCGAACAGG